AACAUGUUGAAUGCCAAUGCACUCAAGCCAGCAAAUUGUUGGCAUAUAUAAGAUUAUCAUUCGACAUAAAAACUAUUUCAGUUCGUCGCAACCCGUAUAUUUAACGUUCCCAUUUAUGCUACGGCUCUCAAGUCUGGGCUCCACGAUCAGUUGACUUGAUCAAGCGCACAGAAAGAAUACAUAGACGAGCAAAUAAAUACAUUUUAGACCUGCCUUUCUUCUGCUACAACCGGCAGAGACUCGGAAUGUUGGACUUCAUUCCUCUGUUAUUGGCACGAAUUUCCAGAUAUGGUACGUGUUCUAUUUUAAAGGUUCUCACGGAAUGAUAGACAUAAAUAACGAUCUAUAUACUACCAACAACUCAGACUACAGGGAGAGAGUAACAAGAUCAGCUGAUCCUACUGUAACUGUUUGACAUUUACAACAACAAAAUGCAAGACUGCAACAUUCCAGAAAUCAUACUUAAAAAGAUCAACAAGAGUGUGGAAUAUACUACCGAGGCGAAGCCGAACGACUUGACGGACAAAAACAACGCACUUUAUGGAUUCAAAAGCGGACCUUAUAAGUACUAUAAACUGGUCUUGAGGAACAUCUAUGAUGCCGCGGAUCCACGAACAUGGAAAAAUCUAUGUUUGUCUUGUGAUAAGUCUCGUACUCAAAUUCGUGUAGUUGUUAGUUUCAAUGUUUUUUCGUUAUAUAUAUAUAUAUAUAUUAUGGUAUAUGGAACGAGCCGCUGUAAUUGGCGAAAGCUGUAGCGUAUACCCAGCCAUAGACCAUAUUGUUUGUGUUAUAUGUAUAUAGUAAAUAAGUUUAUAUAGAUAUGGCAAGC